rnacentral:rRNA from 1 species
UACGGAGGGUGCAAGCGUUAAUCGGAAUUACUGGGCGUAAAGCGCACGCAGGUGGCUGAGUCAGUCGAUUGUGAAAUCUCCGGGCUUAACCCGGAAAGGUCAACCGAUACUGCGGGGCUAGAGUGCAGAAGGGGCAACUGGAAUUCUCGGUGUAGCGGUGGAAUGCGUAGAUAUCGAGAGGAACACCUGCGGCGAAGGCGGGUUGCUGGGCUGACACUGACGCUGAAGUGCGAAAGCUAGGGGAGCGAACGGG